rnacentral:rRNA from 1 species
GACAGAGGGUGCAAACGUUGUUCGGAUUUACUGGGCGUAAAGCGCACGUAGGCGGGUCGUUAAGUCAGGGGUGAAAUCCUGGAGCUCAACUCCAGAACUGCCCUUGAUACUGGCGAUCUCGAGUUCGGGAGAGGUGAGUGGAACUGCGAGUGUAGAGGUGAAAUUCGUAGAUAUUCGCAAGAACACCAGUGGCGAAGGCGGCUCACUGGCCCGGUACUGACGCUGAGGUGCGAAAGCGUGGGGAGCAAACAGG